rnacentral:rRNA from 1 species
GAGUCAACGUAGCAAUACGUGGCACACGGCUCAGUAACACGUAGUCAACAUAACCAAAGGACGUGGAUAAACUCGGGAAACUGAGGCUAAACCGCGAUAGAACAAGAUACCUGGAAUGGUUUUUGAUCAAAAUCUAUAUGGCCUUUGGAUUGGACUGCGUCCGAUCAGGCUGUUGGUGAGGUAAUGGCCCACCAAACCUGUAACCGGUACGGGCUCUGAGAGGAGGAGCCCGGAGAUGGGUACUGAGAAAAGGACCCAGGCCCUAUGGGGCGCAGCAGGCGCGAAACCUCUGCAAUAGGCGAAAGCCUGACAGGGUUACUCUGAGUGACUUUCGCUAAGAAAGUCUUUUGACACCUCUAAAAAUGGUGUAGAAUAAGGGGUGGGCAAGUCUGGUGUCAGCCGCCGCGGUAAUACCAGCACCCCGAGUGGUCGGGACGAUUAUUGGGCCUAAAGCAUCCGUAGCCGGUUUUACAAGUCCUCCGUUAAAUCCAGCUGCUUAACAGAUGGGCUGCGGAGGAUACUAUAAGACUAGGAGGCAGGAGAGGCAAGCGGUACUCAGUGGGUAGGGGUAAAAUCCGUUGAUCCAUUGAAGACCACCAGUGGCGAAGGCGGCUUGCCAGAAUGCGCUCGACGGUGAGGGAUGAAAGCUGGGGGAGCAAACCGGAUUAGAUACCCGGGUAGUCCCAGCUGUAAACGAUGCAGACUCGGUGAUGGACUAGCUUUAUGCUAGUCCAGUGCCGCAGGGAAGCCGUUAAGUCUGCCGCCUGGGUAGUACGGUCGCAAGACUGAA